GGGUUGCUGAGGUUGCUUCCAGGACUGCAGCAGCUGCGGUUGCUGGGGCUGGACUGGCAGAAGAGGUGCCCUCGGAAGAGGGAGCCGGGCUCCCAGUAGCAGGGCUGCAAAGUGAAACAGAAUUUGCACUCUUGAAUUGAUGGUUAUGAAACUGAAGUAUCCAUCAAACUCUGGGAAAUGUUGAAGAUGCUCUGUAUCCAGCAGAACUGAAUACUCAGCCAAGAUUUAAUUCGUUGUGUAAGAAUAAACAAGCACGUCCACCUCAUUGCUGUGCAGAUGCGCAUUCGUCUCUAGAAAACGUUCUUUGUUCUAGAACAUAAGACCUUGGGAAUGUGAGCUAGUGGCCUCCAGACUCCAAUAUCUGCUGCCCAGACAAUAUGACUGACUUGUGCCCAUGAUGGAGUACUACCCCUGUCCAGGCAGGCAGUCUUGCUGGAAGGGCUGUGGGCCCUACAAGAAGAGUACCACCUAUGCCACACCCUUAGAUCCUGGAGAAGGUCCCUCAUGUCAACGGCUCUGAAGGCCUCUCAACCCAGGGUUAAAUGUCUUCCUCACCUGGACACAAGAGUGGCAAGAACAUGGUGCUGGUAAGGCCUGCAGGAAGUCAGAGAGCAGUGGUGUGACAAGGUCUCGUUUUUGUUCACGAGUCCCCUAGGAUGCUGUAGUUGUGGCCUGAAGUCCUGGGGCAGACUCAGAAGGCAAAGGGAUGGUCCCUAGCUGCA